rnacentral:rRNA from 1 species
CUGCCAGUAGUCAUAUGCUUGUCUCAAAGAUUAAGCCAUGCAUGUCUUAGUGCAAGCCAAAUUAAGGUGAAACCGCAAAUGGCUCAUUAAAUCAGUUAUGGUUCAUUAGAUAAUAAACCACAUUACUUGGAUAACUGUGGCAAUUCUAGAGCUAAUACAUGCAUUAAAUAACUUGAUCCGGAGACGGUUUGAGUGCUUUUAUUAGAUCAAAACCAAUGUGUUUAUUUCGAUAGACACUCCCAUUGGUGACUCUGAAUAACUUUAUGAUGAUCGCAUGGUCUUUGUGCCGGCGACAAAUCUUUCAAAUGUCUGACUUAUCAACUGUCGAUGGUAGGCUCUGCGCCUACCAUGGUUGUAACGGGUGACGGGGAAUCAGGGUUUGAUUCCGGAGAGGGAGCCUGAGAAACGGCUACCACAUCCAAGGAAGGCAGCAGGCGCGCAAAUUACCCACUCCCGGCACGGGGAGGUAGUGACGAAAAAUAACGAUACGGGACUCAUCCGAGGCCCCGUAAUCGGAAUGAGCACACUUUAAAUACUUUAACAAGUAUCAAUUGGAGGGCAAGUCUGGUGCCAGCCGCCGCGGUAACUCCAGCUCCAAUAGCGUAUAUUAAAGUUGUUGCGGUUAAAAAGCUCGUAGUUGGGAAUGUGUCCCGCACUGUCGGUGCGCCAUUUAUGGUGUUUACUGGCAUGCUGCGGGACGUCCUGCCGGUGGGAUUGUUACUUUUUGUUUGUAUAUCUUUAUUGGUAUACUACAAUUUGUCGCAUUCUCUUGUGACCCAUCGCGGUGCUCUUUACCGAGUGUCGUGGCGGGCCGGCACGUUUACUUUGAACAAAUUAGAGUGCUAAAAGCAGGCCUAAUGCCUGAAUAUUGUGUGCAUGGAAUAAUAGAAUAGGACCUCGGUUCUAUUUUGUUGGUUUUCUGGACCAGAGGUAAUGAUUAAGAGGAACGGACGGGGGCAUUCGUAUUGAGACGUUAGAGGUGAAAUUCUUGGAUCGUCUCAAGACGGACAGAAGCGAAAGCAUUUGCCAAGAACGUUUUCAUUAAUCAAGAACGAAAGUUAGAGGUUCGAAGGCGAUCAGAUACCGCCCUAGUUCUAACCAUAAACGAUGCCAGCCAGCGAUCCGCCAAAGUUCCUCCGAUGACUUGGCGGGCAGCUUCCGGGAAACCAAAGCUUUUGGGUUCCGGGGGGAGUAUGGUUGCAAAGCUGAAACUUAAAGGAAUUGACGGAAGGGCACCACCAGGAGUGGAGCCUGCGGCUUAAUUUGACUCAACACGGGAAACCUCACCAGGUCCGGACACCGGAAGGAUUGACAGAUUGAGAGCUCUUUCUUGAUUCGGUGGGUGGUGGUGCAUGGCCGUUCUUAGUUGGUGGAACGAUUUGUCUGGUUAAUUCCGAUAACGAACGAGACUCUAGCCUGCUAACUAGCCGUAUCCGGCAUCAUAUGCUGCCGGCGGUAUACAAUUCUUCUUAGAGGGACAGGCUGCUUCUAGCCGCACGAAAUUGAGCAAUAACAGGUCUGUAAUGCCCUUAGAUGUCCUGGGCCGCACGCGCGCUACAAUGAAAAUAUCAACGUGUCUUCCCAGACCGAACGGUCCGGGUAACCCGCUGAACCAUUUUCGUGCUAGGGAUUGGGGCUUGCAAUUACUCCCCAUGAACGAGGAAUUCCCAGUAAGCGCGAGUCAUAAGCUCGCGUUGAUUACGUCCCUGCCCUUUGUACACACCGCCCGUCGCUACUACCGAUUGAAUGAUUUAGUGAGGUCUUCGGACUGGUACGCGAUAGCGUUUAUUAUUAAUGCUGCCGAUGUAAUGGAAAGAUGACCAAACUUGAUCAUUUAGAGGAAGUAAAAGUCGUAACA